rnacentral:rRNA from 1 species
AAUAUUUUACAAUGGGGGGAACCCUGAUCCAGCCAUCCCGCGUGUGCGAUGAAGGCCUUCUGGUUGUACCGCACUUUUGGCAGGGAAGAAAAGCCACGGGUUAAUACCCCGACGGCGCUGACGGUACCUGCAGAAUAAGCACUGGCUAACCACGCGCCAGCACCCGCGGUAAUACGUAGGGUGCAAGCGUUAAUCGGAAUUACUGGGCGUAAAGGGUGCGUCGGCGGUUUGGCAAGAAAGGUGUGAAAUCCCAGGGCUCAACCUUGGAACUGCACUUUUAACUGCUAGGCUAGAGUAUGUCAGAGGGGGGUAGAAUUCCGCGUGUAGCAGUGAAAUGCGUAGAUAUGCGGAGGAAUACCGAUGGCGAAGGCAGCCCCCUGGGAUAAUACUGACGCUCAGGCACGAAAGCGUGGGGAGCAAACAG